GUUAGGGGUGAGAAAGAGCCCGGUCUGGGAGAGCCGGCACAUGGGUCCCAGUGGUGGUUCCGCUGCUUCCUCGCUUCGCUCUGUCAUAACCUGGCAUUCAGCCUGCUUUUCCUUUUAAGAAUUGAACACUUUUCCGUUCCGCUUCCAUACUGCAGGGCGUGCAGACUGUGAAAAUCAGAGGUCAGACCACUCUUCUGUGAGCUUUCAACUGCGGGGUCUGCAGUGCUGGGAUUAAAGGCGUGCGCCACCAUCGCCCGG